rnacentral:snRNA from 1 species
AUCGCUUCUCGGCCUUUUGGCUAAGAUCAAGUGUAGUAUCUGUUCUUAUCAGUUUAAUAUCUGAUACGUCCUCUAUCCGAGGACAAUAUAUUAAAUGGAUUUUUGGAGCAGGGAGAUGGAAUAACACUUUACAAAAGAAGACAUACAUGAGGCCAACAAAC